AUACUUGCUUUGGCAGUACAUAUGCUAAAAACUGGAACUAUAGAGAAAAUUAGCAUGGUUCCUAUGCAAGAAUGACAUGCAGAUUCAUGAAACAAAGUGAUAUCUU
ensembl:snRNA U6 U6 spliceosomal RNA